rnacentral:lncRNA from 1 species
CUGGAGCUCUCCAUCCAUGUGCCACAUGGAGCCAUGGCUGCUUCCCUGGAAACAGGGAAGAAUCUGGAAUCCUGGAUCCACAUAAUGGGACUCAGCCUGAACCUUCCUGGAAUAAAGAGCCGACUUUUUGUUUAGCCAUUAAGAAAGGGGAAAAAAAAAUCCAAGGCGCUGUUUUGUUCCGGAAACUUCUGGGCACAUUAAGCGAAACCAGAUCCCAGAGGGUGGGGGGAGAGAGGGAUACAGGAAAGCAAUCAAAUCCUACUGGAGGAAUUCCUCCUUUCUGGAAGAACAUAAACCAGGAGCAGAAUGUAAACAACCCUCCAUAUGUCCCUUGUAAAUCAGGAGCAACGGGAAUGAAUUCCCAGCAGGGACGGGACAUUGGGAAUGUUCGGCUGGGGAGUCCUUUUGAGGUUUUCUUCAUCUUGAUGGAUUUAAUUUGGAAUUUGUCCUUCUUUUCUCUCCUCUUCCUGCUCCCCCAGGAUGAACCAGGACCUGAACUCUCUGAAGAGGUGCCUGGAGUAAUUCCAAAGGAUUAAUUAGGCAGGGCUGGAGCACAGGGAUUAACGAGGGCUGAUAAUGGUCCCUCGAUCAGGAGAUGUUGGGAAAAGGCUGGAUUCUCCUCCUGGGUCCACGGGUCACCUGUGCUGUCCAUUGUUUGAGCUGGGACGUUCAUUCCCGGUUUAUUUAAAUUCCAAGGAGCGAUCCCUCCUUAAACUCUCCUUGGAAUACAUUCUACAGCUGGAAAAUGAUUUUAAAAGGCUCCAAGCAACUCCAUUUAUCCUUGAGAAAAGCUCCUUUCACUCCAAAUCCUUUUUCUAACCAAGGGGGGGGGAAAUAUGGGCACAGGACUUUUAAACCCAACAAUUCCAGAAUGGGAUUAGGUUGGAUAGGACCUUGGAGAUCAUCUCAUUCCAGCCCCUUCCAUGGGCAGGGAAUCUUCCACUAUCCCAGGCUGCUCCAAGCCCUGUCCAGCCUGGCCUUGGACACUUCCAGGGAUGGGAAAUCCACAACAUCUGGGCAUCCCAUGACAGGUGAAGCUCAGAUGUCACUUCUGGCAAAGACAUCAAACUUCCCAGAAUCCCAGGAUCACUGAGGUCAGAAAAUCCCGCCAGGAUCAUCGAGUCCAAGCUGUGCCCCAUCCCCACCUUGGAACUGAGCGCCGCAUCCAGGAAUUCCUUGGACACCUCCAGGGAUGGGACCUCCAAAGCUCCCUGGGCACCUUCAAUGCCUGACUGCCCUUUCCAUGGAGAAAUUCCUUGAAUUUAGUUUUGUUUUCCAGCCCUUUCCCCAGGUUUUUUGCUCUCUGUGUGUCCCAUCUCCACUUUGGAACAACUCUUAUUUCACUUUCUCCUCCUUGACGUGUGCCUGGAUUCCUG